rnacentral:tRNA from 1 species
CGGAGUGUGGCCUAGUGGUUUAGGGCGUCUGCUUUGGGAGCAGAAGGUCGUGGGUUCAAAUCCCACCACUCCGA